GGCUCAGGAUGAACGCUGGCGGCGUGCUUAACACAUGCAAGUCGAACGAAGCAGUUAUUAUGAUCCCUCGGGGUGACGAUUACUGACUGAGUGGCGGACGGGUGAGUAACGCGUGGGUAACCUGCCUUGUACAGGGGGACAACAGUUGGAAACGACUGCUAAUACCGCAUAAGCGCACAGCUUCGCAUGAAGCAGUGUGAAAAGUAUUUUCGGUACAAGAUGGACCCGCGUCUGAUUAGCUAGUUGGUGAGGUAACGGCCCACCAAGGCGACGAUCAGUAGCCGACCUGAGAGGGUGACCGGCCACAUUGGGACUGAGACACGGCCCAAACUCCUACGGGAGGCAGCAGUGGGGAAUAUUGCACAAUGGGCGAAAGCCUGAUGCAGCGAACCGCCGCGUGAGCGAAGAAGUAUUUCGGUAUGUAAAGCUCUAUCAGCAGGGAAGAUAAUGACGGUACCUGACUAAGAAGCACCGGCUAAAUACGUGCCAGCCGCAGC
rnacentral:rRNA from 1 species